UACGUAGGGGGCAAGCGUUGUCCGGAUUUAUUGGGCGUAAAGAGCGUGUAGGCGGCUAGGUAGGUCCGUUGUGAAAACUCGAGGCUCAACCUCGAGCUGUCGAUGGAAACCAUCUGGCUAGAGUCCGGAAGAGGAGAGUGGAAUUCCUGGUGUAGCGGUGAAAUGCGCAGAUAUCAGGAGGAACACCGAUGGCGAAGGCAGGUCUCUGGGCAUUAACUGACGCUGAGGAGCGAAAGCAUGGGGAGCGAACAGG
rnacentral:rRNA from 1 species